rfam:Triticum aestivum genome assembly, contig: Triticum_aestivum_CS42_TGACv1_scaffold_577794_7BL
UAUGUACUCCCUCCGUCCCAAAAUACUUGUCGGAGAAAUGGAUAAAUCUUGACGUAUUUUAGUUAUAGAUACAUUCACUUUUAUUCAUUUCUCCGACAAGUAUUUCGGGACGGAGGGAGUACGAA